UGGCUCAGGAUGAACGCUAGCGGCAGGCUUAACACAUGCAAGUCGGAGGGGCAGCAUACCCGGCAACGGGGUGAGUGGCGACCGGCGUAAGGGUGAGUAACGCGUGAGCAACAUACCCGUAUCGAGGGAGAUAAUACGAAGGGAAACUUGUUCUAAUAUUCCAUAAUAUUAUCCAGAGGCAUUCUUUGGAUACUUAAAGUUACGACGGAUACGGAAUGGCUCGCGUGACAUUAGUUAGAUGGUAGGGUAAUGGCCUACCAUGACUAUGAUGUCUAGGGGUUCUGAGAGGGAGGUCCCCCACACUGGAACUGAGACACGGUCCAGACUCCUACGGGAGGCAGCAGUGAGGAAUAUUGGACAAUGGAUGGAAAUCUGAUCCAGCCAUGCCGCGUGCAGGAAGGCGGCCCUAUGGGUUGUAAACUGCUUUUGUACGGGAGCAAUAAGGUCUACGAGUAGAUUGAUGAGAGUACUGUACGAAUAAGCAUCGGCUAAACUCCGUGCC
rnacentral:rRNA from 1 species